rnacentral:rRNA from 1 species
AGAGUUUGAUCAUGGCUCAGAAUGAACGCUGGCGGCGUGCUUAACACAUGCAAGUCGCACGAGAACGCUUCAGCUUGCUGAAGCUAGUAAAGUGGCGUACGGGUGAGUAACGCGUGGGUAAUCUAUCUCUGAAUUGGGGAUAACAUUGCGAAAGCGAUGCUAAUACCGGAUAAUAUCCCAUUAAACCUCGGUUUUUUGGAUCAAAGGUGGCCUCUACAUGUAAGCUACUGUUUGGAGACGAGCCCGCGUACCAUUAGCUUGUUGGUAGGGUAACGGCUUACCAAGGCAACGAUGGUUAGCUGGUCUGAGAGGAUGAUCAGCCACACUGGAACUGACACACGGUCCAGACUCCUACGGGAGGCAGCAGUGAGGAAUUUUGCGCAAUGGGGGAAACCCUGACGCAGCAACGCCGCGUGAGUGAUGAAGGCUUUCGGGUCGUAAAGCUCUGUCAAGUGGGAAGAACCCGUGCCGUACAAAUAGUGCGGUGCGCUGACGGUACCACUGAAGGAAGCACCGGCUAACUCCGUGCCAGCAGCCGCGGUAAUACGGGGGGUGCAAGCGUUAUUCGGAAUCAUUGGGCGUAAAGAGCGCGUAGGCGGUCUUCUAUGUCAGGUGUGAAAGCCCGGGGCUCAACCCCGGAAGUGCACUUGAAACUGGGAGACUUGAGUAUGGGAGAGGGAAGUGGAAUUCCUGGUGUAGCGGUGAAAUGCGUAGAUAUCAGGAGGAAUACCAGUGGCGAAGGCGGCCUUCUGGGCCGUUCCUGACGCUAAGACGCGAAAGCAUGGGUAGCGAACGGGAUUAGAAACCCCGGUAGUCCAUGCCGUAAACGAUGCAAACUAGGUGUUGGUGGUGUAAAAGCCAUCAGUGCCGCAGCUAACGCGAUAAGUUUGCCGCCUGGGGAGUACGCUCGCAAGGGUAAAACUUAAAGGAAUUGACGG